ensembl:lncRNA
CCCCGGGCCGCGCACCUCCGCCGUCCGGGAGCGGCCCCCCCCCGACGGGUCCGUCUUGAACUUGACUCGGGGACGCCGCGAGCUGCCGGGGCUGUCCCGUCUCCUCUCGCAUGAUGCUCGGGCGAGCGGCCCACGGGAUACUGAAUACUUUAAAAAUUAACCUUCAGCGAAUUUCUGAUCUCUCCACAUCCUCCCCCCUCCCCGAAAAAAAAAAAAAAAAAGAAAAAAAAGUUAAAAAAAAAAAAAAGUCUUUUUAUCUGGCAGGAAAAGAAAGGAGAAAGAUAGACAGCAGUGUCCGGUGCUGCACGUCUGAAAAACAAAACAAACAAACAAACAAAAAUCCCAAGCCCGGUAAAGGCAGCUUUUCCACCUACACUCAUUGCUGAUUUUUUUCCCCUUAAAACAGUUGCAGGGUUCCCCCCGAGGUGCCCGGCCAGCCGUGCUCCCGCUGCUCGAUGCCGUGUGAGCCCUCGUUGUGCGUGGAGCCCCGGAGCCGCGCCGGGCCAGGAGGAGCAGAGCCGCCUGGGGCCGUCGGGUUUCCCUCGGACGCCCACCUGUGUCGUGUCUGCUUCAGCCUCAGAAAGGUGCCGGUAGGCUCGGAUUUGUUACUGCUUUGGUUGGAAGCGGGGAGGCGUGGGGUGUUCAGGGCUCCGUGGAGGUCCCCCGGGCUGAGGGCUCUGCCCUGGGCAGCUGGAGUAGUUUGGGAUGUGAGCUUCGAUGGCACCACGGCCCUUUAUGGUUGUGCUGGUUCCUGCCGUGCCGACCCUGAUAAGUUGUGUCCGUGGGUUUGCAGCACGGCUCCAGCCGUGUUCCUAGCAAGGGCUUAAAUCCGGCGUCCUGUGUCAUUUGCCUCCUCUGGGUCACUCGCAGCCUUGGGGUUUCCCCAUCCAGCCUUCAGAUGGGGAAUUGGGAGCAGACCGCUGUCUGCACCCCGCUGAGGUCAGGGCCUCCCUGCUGAGGCUGCUGCUCUACAGCACCCCCAAAAAAGGGGGCAGGGGCAGCUGGGUUGUUCGUGUGUCUUUUGGAAUGGAGGUGAUGUUUGGGAUGGGUGUACACGGGGCUGGCAGCCUGUUUUGGGGCUAUGAGAUGCUUUCAGAGCGAGAUGCUUGGGGUUAGCAGUGAGGGGAGGGGGCAGCAGGGCUGUGUCCCUAUGAACAUCAUGCUGUGCUGCUGCUGAGUGCUUGUGGAUAAAUAAGGAUCUUUUUCUUUCUGUAAAAGAAGCUAAAAGGCUCCAUUCCUCACUUUGGCCCAUAUUAGAGAGACUCGGACAGUCCUGGAGCACGGGAUACUCUUGCUUUAUUCCUGCAUUCCUUAGGCUGGUUGUGGGGUGAGCUCCUGAACGCAGUGCCAGGGCCUGGCAGUGGGGCAUCCUCUGUGCUCACAGUUUGGGGUUUCUCCCUGCAAACAGGGCAGGGUGGUGCUGGUGAAACAGGUGCCCCGUUAGCACAGCUCUCGGUGCGUCGUUAAGAAUGGAUCUGGCGUUGCACCCUGAAGGGUCCCAGGACUGCGCACAAAAAGGGGCCGUGUUCUGCUGUCCUCUCUCAGGCUGGCAGCCCUCUUGAAGUUGCUCCAUGAGCGGGAUUAGGUGGAUUUGUCCCCAAAUAAACAGAACUCAGGAUGGUUUUCUAGAAGGGCUAACAUGGUGAUUCAUUGUGCUAUAAAGAACCCAAGCAGAGGCAGGCAAUGAGCUGGAGCCAUUCCUUUUCUACCACGCUUUAUGAGCCAUGAAUAUUUUGAUUCCUUUGGUGUCAUUGUUUGCGCGUAUCUGUAUCUGUGUCUGGUGUAACCCAAUGAAAAUAAUAUAUAUUUUUUCAAGCUCUGUGCGUGCUGUUGGCUGCACGCAGUGGGAAGGCAGUCCCAAAGGCGUUUGAUCAGGUUGUGCACAAGUGUCUCAGAGCUACAGCACCAGGAAUUAAGUUCCUUUAGUAACUCUGCUGGCUGCAAAGCCCUCAUUCCCAAAGCGGUGGUGGGCUGCAGCAUUGUGUUUGCAUCUCUUCUUUUGUUUUUUUUCCAUACAGUGUUCCCAGAUUAAACAUAUUACACACUAACUAACUGCAGCUUUUUCAGCCGAGCCUAACUUUUGGAUAAGCCAUCCCCUCUAUUGAUGCUUUCGGCACGACCAAACUAUAUGGAAAGCACCUCUGCAGAGACGCGCGCUUGUUUUGGACAGGCAAAACUCUAGAGGAAGCUUUAAAUUCUUUGCAGAAAUCUAAUUGUAUCGGGCAGAAGGAAAGAAUUUGCGUCGUGUUGACUUAUCUGUGCCUUCAUCCCUGGAGCUGAGCCAUUUGGUUCACCUCGCCGUGCCGUUUGCAUGCUUUAAAAACACGCUGUGUGCCCCGCGAGUGCUGCUCAGCACAGUGCUCGGAGGGCUGUAACAGUGCACAGAGGGAGCGAGGGCCGUCCUGCUGAAGGCUGUAUCAGAGGCUUGCAGGGAUGGAAGGCAGCAGCGUAGCUUUGUGUUACGAUGUGAGUUUUUACUCUUGGUUAACCAGGCUUGAAGGGUAUGGUGCAGCAUGGAGCCAGGCCUGCUUCCCCUCACCAUCCCAGCUUUUGGUGGCUUCGGGGGCAGAAAUGAGUGCUGGGCCUUAUCCGUGGGCCGUGGCCUUGUGCUGAGAGGUCACAGCGGGGUGGGAGACGUCAGCUUUGGGUUUCUGCUUGCUGCACAGAGAGCACUGAUGUGGGGAAGGCUGGCGGCAGGCAGGGCGUCCCGACAGGCAGUGAGCACAGCCCUGAAAUAGGCUGCCCUGCAAGAAAUACACUGCCCUGCAAGAAAUACGCUGCCCACCACCUCCUCUCUGAAUCCCUCCCCAGUUUCACUGAGACAAUAAUAUAUUGCAAAAAUACUCUUUCAUUAUUAUUAUUAUUAUUAUUAUUUAAAUGACCGUUUUUUGCUGCUUUCUGUACUUUGCACGACACAGUUCUCACCCUGUUUUGAUCAGCAAGGUGUUUUUGUUCCCUUUUCCCCUGUUUUUCUCCUUAUUUUCAUCUGUCGAGUGCUUGUUUUUGCCCGCGUUAGCAGGACGCAGUUGAAUUGAAGGUUUCAUGUGUUGGGGCCGCGGAGAGAAAUUUGGCCAUAACUUGAGGGAAAGUCUGAUGUGGGGCUGAGGGACGGUCUCGAAUUCAGGGCUAAAUCUCUGUGCAGCGGAUGGUGUGCGCAGAGUUCUCAGCCCCACGCUGAGCCACGCGGGCAGAGCUCUGCUGCUCACUGGUGCAGAUGGUCCCCAGACUCAGCAAUUCCCACAAUAUUCCUAUUGACUAAAAAAGAAGAUGCCGCAGCUGUCAGCCACCCACCUUUAAGGACCGCUCUGAAACAGCAUUGCUUCGUUUGGCAAAGUGCAGCAAGAAGAAGAAAGGGGAUUUUUUUUCCCCCCCUUUUCCCCUGUUUUUUUCUUUCCCUUCAGUGUUGUGAGCCUCACUUGCCAGAUUUCAUUUCGCCUUUUGUUGUGAAGCUGUUUAGACCAAAGAAGCAUAACGUACCUGUGCUUCGGAGCGGGGUCUGAGCUUCCAUUUAAUUGCCUGAAUCUGGAAGUUGAAUUGUAUUUAAAAAGAAAUGAGGCUAUUAAUAAUAAUCUAAGAACUGGCAGCGCUGUGGCGGUAAAAUAUAGAUUUAAUUUUUAAUCUUGGGCCUGCAGAAGUGUUUUAAAAUAAUGCAGUAAGUGGGGAUGAUUUACUUUAAUGUCUUUGCAAGCACUCCGUUUGUAUUUAAAAUGAGAUUCCGGCGUGACGUUGCAAUCUGCCCUUCUUUCUGUUUCCUUUUCGCUCUGUGCUGGUGCGGGAGGAGCAGGCGGGCAAAGGAGCAAAGGAGCAGGAACUGUGCCUUGAAGAUUCUCCCUGCGCCUUCAGGAGGAUGCUGGGCUGAGCCAAAAUCAAAGCGCUCUGCUGUGCUCGCGCUGUGCUGCUGAGGAGUUGGUUUCAGAGGAGUUCCCUCAGCCGGUCAGAGAUCUCAGCACCCAAGCUCUUAGCAAGCUGCUGCCUUCAACAACAUCCCCAUAAGGAGCAAACUGAAACAGCACAAGGAGUAGAUGUCAGCCUCAGACUGACAACUGCGCUUCUGGCAUCUGUUGCAGCCGGGAUGCAUUCCUUGAUCGUUUCUGAGUCUGCCAUUAUUUUUCUGCCUGCCCAGUGUCCCAGGGACGUGAAACGAAGCCGCUGCGCUUUGCUGCCGAGCACUGAAACUCUGCACCAACAUUCAAUUUGAUCUCUCGGAACUGACUGCAAUAAAGUGGUUUCGUCAGCACACACUUGUGAUAAAAAGGCGACACGAAGAAAGCCAGCGAGCUGAAAGGCCCUGCGUUUUCCUGGGAAGACAAUAGGAUAUCUGGCUCUUUAUUUGUUUCGUGGAUUCCUUGUGCAGCCAUUUAAAUUCAGCCGAAGGCUCCAAAUGUCUAAACUUUAUCCUGGGCAUUUUAUUUAUUUUUUUUUCAGUGCUGGAAAGGAAUAGAGUUAAGUGUCCCAAGGGGAGUUUUAUAGAAAAUGCUAUGUGCAAUGUUAAUGAGUUGGGAAGGGGUCGUAUGUUUUUUCAUAUAGAGCCUAUGCAGGAACAAAUAUGGAACCGGAGGAGAAACCAUCUGCAGGGACCCAGUGAGGUGUGCCAGCGGGUGAUCCUGGGCUGCUGUCACCCCUAAAUGAUGAACAAAAGACUUCAAUCCCAAGAGCCCCCCGUGCCCCUGCAUGGCUCUGUGCUGGGCUGGGUGAAUAGCCGGGGCUGGAAGAAAUGACAAACUUCUUGGGUGCCACAAGAGAUUGCUUCAGCGUUACUGAUCCUCACUCUGCUCGUUACUGAAAAUGCAUCCAGCAGCUAUAUGGGUCAGACUGCUAAAUUUGUAGACACGGAGUGUCAGGAAGCCUUUUUGUCAACUUCGUACCGUUUAGUAUAUUUGUCCUCAAGUUCAAAGCAAUCCUGGCCCCAGACUUGUGAUAUUUUCUGCCCUUUCCCCUUUCUGUUGACUCAGGCCUCUUCCCUUUGAGGUCAACAUCAAAAUAAAGAUGUAUGUUUCCUCAGCCUGACCAUGGCUCUGAGUCUUUAGAUCAGCAAUCCUAUAGUCCAUAUGUCUUCCCAUCUGUCAGCCAGCAUUUGAAGCCAGCUUGCUCCUCUAUUCUUUCAGACAAGUGUGAGAAUCAGAAGUUUCUUUAAUGACGGUUUCAGGCCUUAAAGCAUUUGCUAAGAUAUUACCUAUUAAGAUCCCUUGAUGGCACCUUGAAUAGAGAUCAAAAGCAGCUGAGUUCACUCCGUAAAUCUCAUCUGGCCUUCAGUUUAGGGUGCUGGGAGAGGGGUGGGGAGGGCACCGUGUUCCCGUGCUGAGAAGCCCAGCCUGGGAAGUCAGCAUUGCAUUUGUGAAACAGUGACCCAGAGCGUGGCUCUCAGUCUGUCUCUCAAACGUUUCUAUUUUUAAUGCCUGCCAAGAGCUACUGCAAAGCCCUCGGGGUAUUUGGGGAAGUGUGUGCUCUUUGGGUUCAUAUCAUUUCAUUGGGUUACAGUGGAUUUAGCGGGGAGGCAUUCAUUGAAGUUUCUGUAUGUUGAAAGGUGUGCACGCUGUCAUGGGCAGAAUGGUGGAGGGCAUUCCCAGAGAACCUCCCAGACGGUGCUAACAAACAGGCUGGCUGUUUAUGGGACCCAAAUGUCUGUGGGGAUCUGAACAUCCCCAAGACGUGGCUGAGCAACGGGGGAUGAUGUCACAGCACUGCCUGUCCAGUAAAAUGUGACACACUGGAGUCAAGCACAACAUAUGGCCCUGGGUUUGUGUUGAAACCUGUUAAAGCGUGAGCAUGAACCCGAGCUCCAGAGAGAUCCUCUUUGGCCUCAGUGUCAUUAGUCUUCAGCCAGAAUAUAGCUUGUGCUCCCUGAGAAAAGCAGCUUCUCUGGCUGCCUGCUCUGUAGUGUCGCUGCUUUUGGAGGAGGUGCUCAAUCAAAAUGUGGGGCACGCAGAUUGUUUGCUUCCAAGAGGGGAAACAGAAGGGACCUCGAUGUAAUUUUACAUCUUAACCAAGAGGAUGCACCAGCUCCUGGACACCGCACCGAGCAAAAUGUCCAGCUACUUUUUGUUCCCAAAGCCUCUUUCAGCCAGCCCCUGCCCCAGAGUACUCUAUUUGACAUUGUCACUGGGUUUAUUUAAGAUGGAUUUGGCUUUUUUUUUUUGCUAUUUUUCUGUGCUUAUAAUCCUUUUAAUUCCACCAUUUUUCUUUUACGACCUUCGUUCAGUCUUUUCUGUCCCUCUUUUACGUGGUACUCAGCCAAGUCUGUCUCAUUGCUGUCAUUUUUAGUGUGAAUCCGUAUCUGCCUUUUUAGGGGGUAGUGGCACUGGUGACGUAUACUUGUGGUUAAAGCAAAAGCCACUAUUGAGUUGGACAAAAUAGGAUGAAUGCUGUAUAAAAAGCCUUCGGAGAGCUGUGAAAUCUCCAUCCUCUCUUCCUUGUUCUCCUGGGAACACUUGCACAAAGAGUAUUUUUAAUGUGAAGCAAAAAGGAUCCUGAUGAAUACUCAUUAACAUUUUGUUUCUGCGGAGAUACAUACAUGAUCAUCACAAGGCUGUGAGGGACAUGUAUUCGGGAAAGCUCUUAGAUGUACAAUUAUUGCUGUGUGCGUGUUUAAAUCUUCCCAAUGGCUGCUGCUUUGCUGAACAGACAUAUUAACCAAAAACAAAAACAGGUAUUUAAUGGAGCUUGUUUGUCCUGCCUUGGCCAGAGGCAGUAUGCUGCGAUAAAGGUCUUCAAACUCAACCCAUAGCGGUGCUCUGUGAGCAGUGGAUCCUCCCAGAAUGGAAUGGGUUGGUUGAAAUACACGCCUGCAAAUAAUUUGUAUCGUAGUUGUUAACAACAACGAGAGCAGAAUUUAACCAGAGAUUGCAAGGGGAAGCAACAUCAGAGCCACCAGAUACAUUCCAUAACAUGUUUUCCUCAUGUGGCUUUGGACUCAGCCCAGAUAGACACCAUUGGGUGAAGGUAUCGCUUCACCAUUGCCACUUUGGAAGCACCAGUCUCAGAAAUGCAGAUCUGAUACGGACUGAAGCCUUUAUGCUACUGGCUGUAUCCCACCUAUUCUGAGCCGGUUAGAAAAAGAGCCUUGGUCAGAAAGAGUUAAUUUAGCAUUGAGUCUCAACUAAAAACCUUCUCUGAGAGGCAUGUGCCUGACUGUGCCCCUUCCUGCAGAUAUACCACUGAUAACCUUCUUCUGUUGCUCUGAAUGCCCUGGAGUGCUGGGCUGGCUUCGCUGUGUGUGCAGGUCGUGCCCAGCAGUGUGAGAGGUCCCUAGGUUAGAUCAGGAGUGGGGAGCUCCCAUUUGCACAAAAGGGAAACACUCCUGGUGGGACCAGCUGUGCAGCAGAGGUAACCAGACGUGACAGUGGAGUUUCCAGGCUUUGCUGGAGUUCUCAUACCUUAUCACAAGGCAAACUGGGCACUGAUUUUUCAUGAGGUCCCUUCUCUUCCAGUGACCGUAAUCCAAUCUGUGUUGUAAUCUGUGCUGUUCUUUCCGUAUGAAAUCUUGCAGGCUUUUUUUUUUUUUUUUUUUUUUUUUUUAGCAGCUUUUUGGAUGGAAUAAUGAAGCCGAACAGAAACAAGAAGAAGAAUGUAUGGUUUCGCUGUCCCUUUUGGGACCGCCCAGAAAUAUCCAGCAGAUGAACGUGUUUUGUGUGUCUGAGUGUCAUUUUGAUUCUCUUGAAGCACGCUGAAGCCAUGACACGAUGUCACCAGGGACUGGAGUUUCUGUCACCAUGUGAUGGCUGGUUGGCUGAGAAGAUCAUUCAUUUAAUAUCUCUAAAUACUUCUGGAGCCUCAGGGUACAAUGCAAAGUGGACGCGAAAGUCCAGGUGUAUCUGCUGGGGAGGGAAAGCUCUGAGUUCUGGUGCUUAACUGCAGAGUUUUUUUACACACCAGGAAAGAUGAAAAGCAGGGACCCGACUCAAGGACAUCCAUGAUGACAGUGUCUGGGUGCUACAACCAAACCUGCUCAUCGGGAUGGUGAUUUGGCACUGGUUCUGCACUCCAGGGUGGGAGGGCAGCAGAGUCAGGUUUCUGCUACCUGGACCUAACUACUAAUUCAAGCAGACUUUUUGUCCCUGGAGGGCAGGGUGAGUGGCUUCACAAUAUGACAGCUACUUAGGAGUUGUCACUGAAAAUCAGUCACCCAAGAAGACCGUUGACUUCCUUGGACAAAUGGGCCCAAAGCAUCCUGGUUGAAUUUCAGGAGGGAAUUACACCACUGGUUUACAUCACCAUUUAUUUUGGCCAUGCUGCAACAAGUUACUCAGUAUGUGUAUGUAAUUGGGGUUGUCUUUUUCUAGCUGAUGGAAAGAUAGCUGUGUAAUUAAUGGACUAGGUCAUUUGUUCUAACAAUAGCCCAUGUUAUGACAGUGAUUGUUAAACAGAAUUCUCCCUCAGCAGAAAAUAAAUAAAUAAAUAGAUUCGCAUUGAUUAGCAUAAUAGAGCUCGGGACUUCUAAACUGCGUUUGACCUUUGGUGGUGGCUAGAGAUGGUAGCACCUGUUACGAGGGAAGCAAAUGAAGAUGAUACAUCACUUCUAUUUUUAUGACGGUCACCACGCAUUGUAAAUAUUCUGCUUCUUGGCUCAGUGCGUCCUUGAAGUACACAGUGCUGGUCUGAAAAACACUGGGAUCUGAAUGGUUAAAAACAUACCCAUCACUUGACAUAGGUACCAUUCUUCGGCACGUAAGUAAUGUGAAUGUGACACUGCUCAAAUAUGUAGAGCUUCAUUUACCCCCAUCUUAUUAUUUGCAGAAAGCUGUGCACUCUGAUGAUGUCCUGAGGAAUACAAACUGGAUAUUAUUCAUAUCUCCGCUGCUUAUAUUUGCUGUCAAUAAACAGACUCAGUUAAAUGGAAA